rnacentral:rRNA from 1 species
AAAAAAUUUAAUUUAAAAUAUUUAAGUAGUAUUAGUUAAGAUCUUUAAAUUUAAAAAAUUUGGCGGUAUUUUAGUCUAUUCAGAGGAACCUGUUUUUUAAUUGAUAAUCCACGAUGGACCUUACUUGAACUUGUUUUUAGUUUAUAUAUCGUCGUUAAAAGAAUAUUUUAUAAGAAUAAUAAUUUUCUUAAUUUUUAAUUUUAAAAUAUAUCAGAUCAAGAUGUAGCUUAUGUUUGAGUUUAUAAUGGGUUACAAUUAUUAUAUUAUUGGAGAUUAAUAUGUAACUUAUUAUUUGAAAUUGGAUUUGAUAGUAAAUUUAUAUAGAUUAAUAAAUUGAUUAUAGCUCUAAAAUAUG